rnacentral:rRNA from 1 species
UACAGAGGAUGCAAGCGUUAUCCGGAAUGAUUGGGCGUAAAGCGUCUGUAGGUGGCUUUUUAAGUCCGCCGUCAAAUCCCAGGGCUCAACUCUGGACAGGCGGUGGAAACUACCAAGCCGGAGUACGGUAGGGGCAGAGGGAAUUUCCGGUGGAGCGGUGAAAUGCGUAGAGAUCGGGAGGAACACCAGUGGCGAAGGCGGCUACCUGGACCAGCACUGACACUGAGGCACGAAAGCGUGGGGAGCAAACAGG